rnacentral:rRNA from 1 species
CACUGACGUCGCGACGCAUAUCAAUAAGCGGAGGAAAAGAAACUAACAAGGAUUCCCCUAGUAACGGCGAGUGAAGCGGGAAGAGCUCAAAUUUGAAAUCUUAAAGGGUUUCCCUUUACGAAUUGUAGUUUAAAGAAGUGUUUUCUGUUGGAGUUUCGGUAAAAGUUCUUUGGAAUAGGACAUCAUAGAGGGUGAGAAUCCCGUAUUUGACCGUUACUUUCCAGCUGUGUGAUACACUUUCAAAGAGUCGGAUUGUUUGGGAAUGCAGUCCAAAAUGGGUGGUAAAUUUCAUCUAAAGCUAAAUAUUGGCGAGAGACCGAUAGCGAACAAGUACCGUGAGGGAAAGAUGAAAAGAACUUUGAAAAGAGAGUUAAACAGUACGUGAAAUUGUCAAAAGGGAAGCGUUUGACACCAGUGUUGUUUAGUUGAAAAUCAAUUCAAUAAUUUUUGAUUUUGAGUAGUAUUGACUUCAUCAGCUUGCUGCUUUCUUUUCAGGAAAUUAUUGAAUGCACUUUUCAGUUAACAAGUCAACAUCAAUUUCUUUUGUUGUAAAAGGGUAAGAGGAAGGUGGCUUACGCUUCGGCGUAAGUGUUUAUAGCCUUUUACCUCUGCAAUCGGAGAGAUUGAGGACAGCAGCGUAGACUCUUCGGGGUUAGAUACACUUGUGCUAAGCUAUAGCCUUGUAUAGACAACUUGUUGACUAUGCUCAGUCAUGUAGCUUACUCGCUUGUGCUAUUUUACCUACGCUUAGGAUGUUGAGCGCAUGUCUCUCUCU